UUUUCGCCUGAAGGGAAAAUUGGAUGACAUGACAGAGUACAGCCUUUUAAGGCUGAAGAGAGGAAGAAAAGUUGUCAACAAACAGCUGCUCCAGUUGUGCAGGGGAUGGAGACAACUGAAGAAGAGACCAGUGUGGUGGCCCGAGUUGUGGAGCACUGCAAGAAAGCAGCAGAAUGGGUGGAGAUGAACCCACAGCUGUCAGCAGCCAGGGUGGAGGUGCCUGACGGUUUGAGCAUGGACGACACAUCAUGCACUGAGGAGGCUGUG